rnacentral:rRNA from 1 species
CAAGUCGGACGUGAAAGUGUAGCAAUACAUGAGUAAAGUGGCGCACGGGUGAAAAACGCGUAGGUGACCUACCUUGAUGAUCGGAAUAACCAGUCGAAAGAUUGGCUAAUACUGGAUAGAGCGGAUUUACUGUAAGGGUAGAUUCGGGAAAGGGCGGCUGGUACACAGAGCGUCCAAGCUAGAGAGAGAGAAUAGUUUGGGAGUUGUGUGUAUCAGCUGUUGCAUUGAGAGGGGCCUGCGUCUCAUUAGCUAGUUGGUGAGGUAAAAGCUCGACCAAGGCGAUGAUGGGUAGCUGGUCUGAGAGGACGAUCAGCCACACUGGAACUGAAACACGGUCCAGACUCCUACGGGAGGCAGCAGUGGGGAAUCUUGCGCAAUGGGGGAAACCCUGACGCAGCGACGCCGCGUGAGUGAAGAAGGCCUUCGGGUUGUAAAGCUCUGUCGAAUGGGAAAAAGCGAUAAUUAUAAUAAUAAGAUAGUUGUGUGAUUGUACCAUUAGAGGAAGCACCGGCUAACUCUGUGCCAGCAGCCGCGGUAAUACAGAGGGUGCAAGCGUUGUUCGGAAUUAUUGGGCGUAAAGGGCAGGUAGGUUGUCCUACAAGACUUCUGUGAAAGCCCUGGGCUUAACCCAGGAGGUGCGGAGGUGACUGUAGGACUAGAGUGCUGGAGGGGUUCGUGGAAUACCCGGUGUAGCGGUGAAAUGCGUAGAUAUCGGGUGGAACACCAGAGGCGAAGGCGGCGAACUGGACAGCAACUGACACUAAACUGCGAAAGCGUGGGGAGCAAACAGGAUUAGAUACCCUGGUAGUCCACGCUGUAAACGAUGAAGCACUAGACGUGGCGGGUCUUGACCCCUGCC